rnacentral:tRNA from 1 species
GUCUAGAGACUCUAGUGGCUAAGGCACCAGGCUAGAAAUCAGGAAAUUGUGAGUUCUAAUCCCACUUUAGGCU